rnacentral:rRNA from 1 species
GUGCCAGCAGCCGCGGUAAUACCGGCAGCCCAAGUGAUGGCCGAUAUUAUUGGGCCUAAAGCGUCCGUAGCUGGCCAGACAAGUCUGUUGGGAAAUCCACGUGCUCAACGCGUGGGCGUCCAGCGGAGACUGUCUGGCUUGGGGCCGGAGGACUCGAGGGGUACGUCCGGGGUAGGAGUGAAAUCCCGUAAUCCUGGACGGACCACCGGUGGCGAAAGCACGUCGCGAGAACGGAUCCGACAGUGAGGGACGAAAGCCAGGGUCUCGAACCGGAUUAGAAACCCCGGUAGUCC